CCCCUAGUAACUGCGAAGUGAAGCGGAAAAAGCUCAAAUUUAAAAUCUGGCAGUCUUUGCCUGUCCGAGUUGUAAUCUAGAAAGUGUUAUCCGCGUUGACCGUGUACAAGUCUCCUGGAAUGAGCAUCAUAGAGGGUGAGAAUCCCGUCUUUGACAUGGACUACCAGUGCUUUGUGAUGCGCUCUCAAAGAGUCGAGUUGUUUGGGAAUGCAGCUCAAAAUGGGUGGUAAAUUCCAUCUAAAGCUAAAUAUUGGCGAGAGACCGAUAGCGAACAAGUCCGUGAGGGAAAGAUGAAAAGACCUUUGGAAAGAGAGUUAACCAGUACGUGAAAUUGCUGAAAGGGAAACGCUUGAAGUCAGUCGCGUUGGCUGGAAAUCACCUUGCUUUUGCUGGGCGUACUUUCUAGUCAAUGGGUCAGCAUCAAUUUUGACCAUUGGAAAAAGUGUAGGGGAAUGUGGCAUCUUCGGAUGUGUUAUAGCCCCUGCUCGCAUCCAAUGGUUGGGAUUGAGGAAUUCAGCAAGGGGAGGA
rnacentral:rRNA from 1 species